UAUGGGCUGGCUCACCACUGCAGGAUGGUGGGGAAAGGCUGGAAGUUAGAAAUUCACUGCAGAGGGAAUUUCAGACUUCUUCCCCCUCCCUUCCGGGACUGCAGGAAAUCUGCACUGCAAAACACCUCAACUGAGAUAGCGUCAGCUCAGCAGAACUGCAGGAGACCACAGAACUUUUUUGCUGAUUGCUCUGCCGAAGUGUCACUUCUCCCGGGCCCCAAAGGCCUCUCCGGGACCCCCAGGAGCGCACUGACAGAGCUCUCCCCAGGCAGGGCAGGUCACGGCAGCAGCACACAGCCGAACAGACCUAGCACGGUUCACGGGGAUGAACCCUAACCUCAGGCUGAGUGAAGGAACAGCUGACGGAGGUGCUACGCAGUCAGAGAAGCCAAGUGAGGGUGUACGUGUUCUGCAGAUGUCGUCAGAACAGAGCACAGCCUUCAACACUGCUCCCCUGCAUCACCUCACAAAAUUGACAUCUGUCAUCAUGCAUUUGAACAUCAGCCAAUAGAUUGGGAUGCUGUGCUCACUUGAGUGUCCCAGUGCUGUCACGAGUUUCAUUCACACAACAUUAAAAAAACAAGUUGAGAUGUGUCUGAUAAAGGUAGACAUGACCUUCAGGGAGAGGGGAGGGAGAAAGAAUUACAUUUGCCUGUAAAAAAAAAAAUGACAGGAUUUGGCUGGCAGUGAGCUUCUA
rnacentral:lncRNA from 1 species